UCAUUCAUGAACAUGGAGGAUCUUUCAUUGUUCCAACGUCUUCAAGAUGCCUUUCAUUGACUGGGCUACUGACAAAGGCUCAUCCCUCAGAACCAAGAAGUGUCAAGAAUUUAAACUGUUGUAGCAACAAUAAAAUGAACCCAAGAAAUGUCUAGAAAGUUCAUGAGAUCUAUUAAAGCCCAGUGAUCCACUAUUAUCCAUAAAAUUAAAAAAAUAAAAGCUA